rnacentral:rRNA from 1 species
UACGUAGGUGGCAAGCGUUGUCCGGAUUUACUGGGCGUAAAGAGCGCGCAGGCGGUCGACCAAGUCGCGUGUGAAAGCCCCCGGCUCAACUGGGGAGGGUCACGCGAUACUGAUCGACUCGAAGGCAGGAGAGGGUAGUGGAAUUCCAGGUGGAGCGGUGAAAUGCGUAGAGAUCUGGAAGAACACCAAAGGCGAAGGCAGCAUUCUGGCUCGUAUCUGACGCUCAUGUGCGAAAGCUAGGGGAGCGAACGGG